rnacentral:rRNA from 1 species
ACGGCAGCACGGGAGCAAUCCUGGUGGCGAGUGGCGAACGGGUGAGUAAUAUAUCGGAACGUGCCCAAUCGUGGGGGAUAACGCAGCGAAAGCUGUGCUAAUACCGCAUACGAUCUAAGGAUGAAAGCGGGGGACUCGCAAGGGCCUCGCGCGAGUGGAGCGGCCGAUAUCAGAUUAGCUAGUUGGUGGGGUAAAAGCUCACCAAGGCGACGAUCUGUAGCUGGUCUGAGAGGACGACCAGCCACACUGGAACUGAGACACGGUCCAGACUCCUACGGGAGGCAGCAGUGGGGAAUUUUGGACAAUGGGCGCAAGCCUGAUCCAGCAAUGCCGCGUGCAGGAUGAAGGCCUUCGGGUUGUAAACUGCUUUUGUACGGAGCGAAACGGUUUUUUCUAAUACAAGAGACUAAUGACGGUACCGUAAGAAUAAGCACCGGCUAACUACGUGCCAGCAGCCGCGGUAAUACGUAGGGUGCGAGCGUUAAUCGGAAUUACUGGGCGUAAAGCGUGCGCAGGCGGUUAUAUAAGACAGAUGUGAAAUCCCCGGGCUUAACCUGGGCACUGCAUUUGUGACUGUAUAGCUAGAGUACGGCAGAGGGGGAUGGAAUUCCGCGUGUAGCAGUGAAAUGCGUAGAUAUGCGGAGGAACACCGAUGGCGAAAGCAAUCCCCUGGGCCUGUACUGACGCUCAUGCACGAAAGCGUGGGGAGCAAACAGGAUUAGAUACCCUGGUAGUCCACGCCCUAAACGAUGUCAACUGGGUUGUUGGGUCUUAGCUGACUCAGUAACGAAGCUAACGCGUGAAGUUGACCGCCUGGGG